rnacentral:rRNA from 1 species
GAUGAACGCUAGCUACAGGCUUAACACAUGCAAGUCGAGGGGUAACGAGAGGGAAGCUUGCUUUCCUUGUCGACGACCGGCGCACGGGUGAGUAACGCGUAUCCAACCUGCCCCCAACUAGGGAAUAACCUUGCGAAAGUAAGACUAAUACCCUAUAAUUUCCUCAGAUGUCAUCUGACGAGGAAUAAAGAUUUAUCGGUUGUGGAUGGGGAUGCGUCUGAUUAGCUUGUUGGCGGGGUAACGGCCCACCAAGGCAACGAUCAGUAGGGGUUAUGAGAGGAAGGUCCCCCACAUGGGAACUGAGACACGGUCCAAACUCCUACGGGAGGCAGCAGUGAGGAAUAUUGGUCAAUGGGCGGAAGCCUGAACCAGCCAAGUAGCGUGCAGGAUGACGGCCCUAUGGGUUGUAAACUGCUUUUAUACAGGAAUAAAGUUAGCCACGUGUGGUUAUUUGUAGGUACUGUAUGAAUAAGGACCGGCUAAUUCCGUGCCAGCCGCCGCCGUAA